AGUGGCAUUGCUGGGUCAUAUGGUAAUCCUAAGUUUGACUUUUUGAGAAAAUGCAAAGCUAUUUUCAAAAACAGUUACACCAUUUUGCAUUCCUGCUCUCAAU
rnacentral:pre_miRNA from 1 species